GCGAGAGUGGUGGAACUGGUAGACACGCAAGCCUUAGGAGCUUGUGGCUCACGCCGUGGGGGUUCGAAUCCCUCCUCUCGCACCA
rnacentral:tRNA from 1 species